GUGAGUCAUCGAGUCUUUGAACGCACCUUGCACCCUUUGGUAUUCCGAAGGGUACACCCGUUUGAGUGUCAUUGUAAUCUCACUACGAUCGACUCUUGUCUUUCCGUAUGUGGACUUGGAUGUUGUCGUGGAUUCAACGACUCGUCUGAAAUGCCUGAGUGUACCCCGCUUUGCGGCGUAUUCGGUGUGAUACAUCUUCACCGGAGUUGAUCCUUUUUGGGUCGCGUCUGUAUGAGUGUGGCUCUAUGCUUCCAACCGUCUUUUUAUGAGAUCAAAUCUCUUGACAAUUUGACCUCAAAUCGGGUGGGUACUACCCGCUGAACUUAAGCAUAUCAAUAAGCGGAGG
rnacentral:rRNA from 1 species